ACUAAUAGCUGUUUGUACCUAUUUAUGUUAAUUUCAAAGAAUGGAUUCCCACUUCCUGAGUUUUUUUCAGCGUUUUUAAAAAUCUAUCUAUUCCAAAUGAAAGACAGCUAUCUUAAAUGUAUAGAACCGCGCGAACAUUUUAGGAAAGUCUAAACUUACGCUAGAAAAAGACAAUUUAAUGCAAAAGAAGCACUAUUUUCACGGGAAUUUGUAUUAUGAAAUCACAGGGUGACGCGACACCUGAUACUUGUUCAUCUUUUGUCGGUGCAUUUUUUGCCAUGCUCAGGCACGGGAUCUUCGUGGCGAGAAAUGACACUUUGGUUUCCAUUACAGUAUGUCCAAACUCUCAGCUGCCCCUUUCCAUUUGCCUUUUUUCACUCUCAGAUGUCAUUGGCAUAUGUUCAGUCUCAUAUGUUCAGGUAUGAACUGGCUUGACAUUUACAUUUACAGGUGGUAGACCUUUCUCAACCAAUCCAACCAUCUGACGAACCAAAGCUUCCCUAAUUUCAGCGAGAGUAUUUGCCCAGCCUAUGUAAGUUAGAAUCAUUAGGAAUUUUUUUUUCUAUGAAUCUAGAAGAGAAGACAGGAAUUUACUACAGCAAUUUCUAUCAUGUGGUAGAAUAAUGUCUUUCACCAACGUUUACAUUUACGUGAAACCUUGUGAGCAGCAAUACUUUGAUCAGAUCGGUCAACCCCGUUCAUGUGUACAAAAUUAUUUCCGUGCAGAGAUAGAGCAGAAUAUUUUCUAUUCAGUUGUAGAAUUUUCAUGCCCCAAGUAUUUGUUUUGCCCAAGUUUUUAAAUUUUUAAUUCACCUGUCCCCGGGGACAAUUAUUUCAGGGUGGGUAUGAUUUAAACUGACCGUCUGUGGUUUGGGUAUUCGGUUUUUGUUAGUUUUCGAUUUGCUGCUGGUCAUUGACCACCUUUCCCAUAUUGCGUGCACUCCAUUACCUGUCAGUCUGCUAGAUAGGGCGCCAAGGCAAUCAAAUAAGAGUUUUAAUCAUAAUACAAAUUUGGCCAAUAUUUAUACGCAACGACACCGGAAUAAAAUAACUAGAGCUUAGCGCUUGCGCAACAGAUAUAGCGUGGUUACUGUAAUUUGCGCAUUAUUUGCUAAAACGCGCUCCCACCUUUGGGAUGGUUAACCAACUUACGGGAAAUUUCGGGAAAUGGGAAAUUUCGGGAAAACGUUCGGCAGUAACCAGCCAUGCCGAAUAUAAGCGCGUUACUUGUUUUCUUUGUACAAGUUGGUGGAAAGAUGGAGACGACGUCGAUUUUUGCACGCACGGGUUUGACUUUCCCUAAGAUAUGACGUAAGUAUGUUAUGGUUCCACAACGGAAUUUUUUCUUUGUUAGGUUUAUCGCAUAGUAUCGCAUAGCUAGUACCUUAAUGCAUAGUAUCCAGAUGUGUCUCCCGUGUAUCGCUCUAAAUUAUAACGUCGUCAAUGUAGGCUUCACAACCAUGGAUAUCAGUGACGAGACGGUGAACCGAUUAGGCGUUGGAAAGUUGCUGGAGCAUUUUUAUGCCAUAUGUCAUCACCUUGUGAUAUAAACCCUUGGACGUGACAAAAGCUGAUAUCUCUCUUGCACUUUCAAUUAGUGGAAUCUCCCCAAACCAUUUUAGCAGAUGGAAUUUUGAUUCAGUGUCUUGGAGCUUCUUAGUCAGGACAUAAUUUUGAUUCUAUAACUUUUUCUUCAAUAGAAUCGUUCAAUUUAUCUUCCACAACUUUCGUUUGCUUCAACCAACUCGGAGUUCAGCUCUGAGCACGGUUUUUCAAGUUCAGUCACUGUCCUUACGUUUUCGACAUCUUCCUCCAGAUCGUUAUACUACGUGUUUUCUGUAAUAGUUUAUUCUUCUUCCUUCCACUUUUCCCACGGCAUUCACGUAUUGCUAAGCAGGCAGCAUCAUUGAUUCGUUUCUCUAAGGCAGAACUUUCGACGAUUUGAACGGAAGCACUUGCUCUUUUGCGAUCAAAUUUACAUAUUUAUGAGCUUGAUCUUUCGUCUUAAGGUCGUUCCGGUAUAUUAAAAUUUCCUGGGGAAUUUCAAGAACGAAAUAGGCUUUAUAAGAUGAUAUUUGUUUCCCAUAGUUAACGUCGCUUGCUUUGCUAGAAAACUUUACUUUUGAAAUGAACUUUUUGGGAUUUUCUGCCAUGACAACACUGCCGCGCCAAAAAUCCCAAAUUCCCGCGUUUCCUCGUAUUUGAAUAAGUAAUGUCAAUGUUGUGACAUACCGCUGAUAAACAAUGAAAUUUGUGGGCUCAUUUCUGAGCAAGCUCGGUAUUUCAGCGGCGUUUAGCUUCUGGACAUGCGCCUAAGUAUCUCGAAACAUGUGAACUGAAAAGACAAGAUGACGAGCUUCAAAACAAUAGUUUUGAAAGCGAAGUCAUCCAAAAUCUCGCCGAAUUAUGGCUAUUUCAAGCAAAGCAAAGCUCUUUGCGAAUCUAAUCGAAGCCACCGAAACCUCAUCUUGCCAGAACAAGCUUUGCAUGUUGGAAUUUGUAUUAUAUAAUACCCUGAAAUACUUUCUUUUAGUGGGGAAGUAUGUGAGAAUUGAUGAUCAAUGGCGUCUAAUUCGCUACAAUCCGUAGAUAAGUUUGAAUCGCUCAAGGACAAGCUUUAUCGGCUUCUAGAAAUCACAAUAUUUUGCUUUUUGCUUUUGCUACAAGUCGAUUUACUAUGUUCAUACUUAUAACAAAAUGUAUUCUUUUGCACUAUUUCUAGUACUAUUUACUAUAAAUUUCCAAGCAUUUUAAGAGAACAAAUGCCUGUUGCGCAAUAUCGCAUGUCGCUUAUUUCUGGCAAUGCUUACACCGCACUUGGGGUUUUAUGUACGUUCAGCAAUUGUCGAAGUGCAAUGUGCAAAUUAUGUACAUUACAACGUUGUAUAAAUUAUUCACUUUUCCCGUUUGUAACAACUAACCAUACACCAAACUCUUCUGUCUCAACUUUGAAGACAUUUUCUUCCCGUGAUGAUCUGCUGUGCAUCAUAACUGAUUUCUUCAGCCGCUAUUACCGCUGUACGUUUGUUGCAAUGUUCCUGAAAGAUGACUUUUGUCCUGACAAAUUAUUUCGGAAAAGUGCUCAGUAAUUCGGCAUAAGCUGCGGUGGUGGAAAGAAAGUCGUCUUCCAAAAAUGUCCUCAUCAUCUGAAUUGGUACAGCCCGAUUAUUGUGUUGGUACGCUACCAAAAUGCCGUUAGGAAAACACAAGAACACAUAUAUUGGGCCGAAAUCCUUAAUACACUCAGCCAGAUGACCAUGUAAAUGCAUGUCCGGUGUGGCAAAAUCUUUUGAAUCGGCUCUCCGACUGCUUCAAUUAAUCUAUUCAAUAAUAUUGUUCGUCCACAUAACCACCAUUACUACAAAAAAACCAUCCAGCAAUCAAUCCAUUUGUGAAAGAGAUGUUUCGCAGUUCCUACCUAAAUCGUACACUGUCGUAAUAAGGAAGACAAAGUAAAUCCGUACAACGUGCUCCAAGUGUACUUUCAAGUUUCUGACGCGUACUAAAAGAUGUUGCUUUAAGCGUUUCAAAAGCGUUUUUGCGAUGACUGACGUCCUCGCGGUUUUGCCCAGAAUUUAUAUCAAAUCCUGAAAAAUCAGGUUUUUCUCCAAAUUUAGACACUGGAAACCUCUUCAAGCAUUUUGAACAUCCGCGCGUGUGUCAUUUAGCAUUGUGUGCCAUGAAACCACCAAAUUUCGUGCUGCUGGCACAUGCAUCACAAGCCAUGCAUAUACACUGUAAGAGCAACUCGAACAAAAGUAACUGUAAUUUUUUGCCAAAAGCGAUGUCCUUUUUAAAUGAGUAGAAGCUCGUCCACAGUGGGCUUCAGUAUUGAAUUCAUACUAUAAAAAUACAGGCAUGCAAAAUCCCCUCGCCUGAAGCGAUUACUGACAUAUAUUUCCAACAGCGAAAUUUUAUAAUACUCGUUUCAGCCGAAUGAUCGAAGUCGUAUAAGUAAAAUCCUAUAUUAAGUACAAUUAUAAACUCGACUCUCGAGCUAUCACAUUCAACUAUAAUCAUAAUUUUACUACGAAUAGUUUUAAAUACUACAAUUUUUAGCGAAAUUUCGAUUCAUUUUUAAACUCAGAUUCACCUUCAAAAAUAUUCACCUUUUGGUGAUAAAUCUAAAUAUUAAAUACUUGCAUGCUUUAAAAUACAAAAUCUACCCAUUUAGCUGUUCAAAAACACUCUAAAAAUCUUCAAAAUCGUAGAUUUUUGCAAUCCAUUUGAAUCAAAGCUUUUUCUAUGCGAAGGCAUAUUUUACAUUCUCUUUUAAUCAAUUUUACAAAUCAAUUUUUCGUAUAUAGUUCUGCUGAGGCGAACCAAAAUUAAAUAUAGCCAAUCGCAGGUUUGCAAGCAUUUGCUAUUUACCAUGCGGUUUUAACCUGCCUAAACUCACGCGUAUGCAUAACUUACAAAAACGCCCAACGUCCAUGGCAUAAUGGCGGACAACUUUGAUUUCGCAUUUUAAAAGCUCCGGGCGGAGUUUGUACCCUCGCCUGGUUUUAUAAUUUUAUGAUUUGGUUUUGGUUCAACCUUCGAUUAAACCAAGCAGCAAUACAUUCUCCCUCUCUUGCAUCUUUCUUCUCAUGGCAAGUUGGCUACAACACAAUAGACAGCUCCAACAGUACCUGCGGGUUGAACCAGUCAACAUUAAGGAUCAAUGCCAAAUUAUUUCGCUUCUUAAAAACGGUUUACCGGUUUCAUGAGCUUGAGACUCUCUUCAACAUGUAUAUCGGUCAUUUCCGUCGUUUCUUUGCCACUUUUAUUUCUCCAUUCGUUGCAUUUGUCUAAGAAACCGUCACUAUUAAUGAGGUUCUUUAAAGAUGAAAACAGACUCCGAAAAACAUACACCCUUUUUGUGUACCAAAAGACAUUGCCAGACUUCCCUCUGACCUUUUUUAUAAGUACAGUAGUUCUUGUCAAGACACGGUGCACGUUUCGCCUGCUGUACAUGAUUUGGCCAUAACACGUUUGAGCAUGCUCUACUCACCACGCGAUCGUUGGGCAAUUUUUUAGUACAUCGUUCCUAGCAAUAUAUCGCGAGCACUUGGGGCAUACAGCAUAAACUUUAAAAUCGUUGGAACAGAAGUUGAAUCGGUAACGGUUUUCUGACCAACCGUACUUAUACUUAGCCACUGCUUACUAACCACGCUUAACAUAUGCGCGCGUAAAUGCGUAAUGGUUUGCAUAAGUGCACGAAAAUUUGGUAAUGGUUUGCAUGAGUGCAGGAAAUUUUCAACCAGCGGCGAAUGACAUGAAAAUAUAUUUCCCUGUCGGCUUCAAAAUGUUUGGGUUUAAUUUAAUAUUAGUCAUCUACACAUAAUUUAAUACAUUUCAAUGAACUUAAUUUCACUGGAUGAAGUGGUGGUUUACCGUGCGUCCCAUCAGUGUUGGUUUCGCUCAGCUCACGGUCGGUGUAAAAGAAGGGUAGCAAUUUUUGUGCACAUUUACGUUCUUGAAUUUUUUUUUUAACGCCUCGCUAUUUUUCUUGACGUUUUUGCUCCGUGUCACAAAUUCGUUGUAUCUCCAAAUUUGUCACAACAAAGUUCAGAAGCUCCUCUGAAAUUUCCACAAGUAAUCUGAACCGAUCAACAAAUCAAUUUCCAACUUCUCUUUGGUUCGACAGACGUCAGAAAACCAUAAAUUUCGCAGGUUGCAGGAAGUUUUUCCUAACAACUUUAACGUGCUCGUUGCUUAUGCGUGAAAUCUCAGGCAUAACAUAAGCCUCCAUCGUCACAAUUCCUACCACCGCGGAACGGAAUCAAAUCAAUAAGAACUACAUCGCACAAUCCGGUCUAAGUUGUUUUCUGACCAACCGUAAUUCUACUUAGCCACUCCUUCCUAACCACGUUUAACUUAUGCGCGCGUGCUACAGCGUGCUAUUUGCGCGCGUAAUGGUUUGCAUGAGUGCACGAAAAUUUGGUAAUGAUUUGCAAAAUGUUUGGGUUUGAUUUAAUAUUAGUCAUCAACACAUAAUUUGAUACAUUUCAAUAAAUUUAAUUACACUGGAUGAAGUGGUGGUUUACCGUGCGUCCCAUCAGUGUUGGUUUCGCUGAGCUCACGGUCGAUGUAAAAGAAGCUAGGGUAGCAAUUUUAAUGCACAUUUGCGUGGUUCUUGAAUUUUUUCUAACGCCUCGCUAAUUUUUUUCACGUUUUUGAUGUGGACAGAUAACUUAUCUAAUAAUAAAAAAAUUCCAUUAAAAAUCAUUUUGUAGAUUCCAUUAGCAUGCAAUAUAACAACUAAACUGAUUUUAGCAGCGCUUAUCGAAACACUUAGCGCAGGUUUUGGUGCGCGAGGGUGUACAUUACAUGCGUACACUAGACAAGUGAGUUAUACACCGAUUACAACAGAUUCUUAAUCAUGCAUGAAAUAAAGCGCAAAUUAUUAGUCUUUUUGUCAGUGAAACAUUUCGCGCGACAAUCGCUAACUGAAACAACGUAUUAUCUAUGCACUUACUUUGGUUUGCAGACGCACCAACUUUAACUAUCAUACGCGUAGAUAUAGCUUUGAUCAGGUAGAACAUAGAGAGAAUUUUUUGUCUCGCAAUGCGAAUAGAACUGUAGCAUAAACCUUUGCUUUCUUACAAGUGUCCACAUUCGAGACUCAACGUAGAAUGAAUAACCUAAGCUAGGUAGGCUGUUUUUGUGUAGAAUGAACCGGAUUUCAAAAACAUAGAAACGCGGUGUGUUUUUUUGACGGACAUAGCGUGGCUAGGCAAGGCAACCGCAUUGCGCAUUUGCUAACCAAAUCUACGCAUUUGAUGUAAAUCUUUGCGCUGAAACGGAAAAUAACAACUUGUUUUUGCCAAAAGGUCUUUUACAAAGUAACAACUUGAACGACCUUCCGUUUCGAAACCAACUGUGAGACACCGCACCCACCCACUCCCCCCCCCCCACACUUACAGGGUUUACAAUAUGCAUGUAGUUUCGUUACAUGCAAAAGCCUCAGCAAAAACUUCACUGUCCCGACUGCAGACGCUAAAGUACACAUCCCGCUAAAUAAAGGUGAAUUUGGCGGACCACUAAUUUUCCGGCUGUGUUACAAUCAAUAAUUGCUAAAUUUGUCGAAACGGCGUGGUUUUUUUCCCUGUUUUUUCGCUGCAAUCUUCGCUGAUGUCCGUUUAUCAUUUUUGUACUUUUAUAUACGAGCUUGCAUUACCAGCUUUGUGACUAGAAAACUUAAUUUUUUCAAUAAAAAUGCUGCAUGCUAUGUUGAGAGAUUAACUUACCGAAUGCUUUUGCCCGUUUGUUGAUCAAUUUGUCAUUGUUUCAGUUGUUUUGGAACAUAAUAUUUAGGUACAGCCUUUUUAAGCAAUAUUCAAAAAUAUUUUGACCUCGAUAUUUCAAAAUUAGCAAUGUUAUAAUUAUCGCGUCAAUUAAGUAAAAUGUACAUCUUUUAUAGCUAUAUUUAUGCGCAUAAUAUAUACGUAUCACUUCUUUUAUUUUCAUGUUAAUUUUCUUUGAUCGAUAUUCACCAAUUGUGUCAUACAGUUUGUAAAAUGUAUGUUUUGUAGUGUGUGUUUUGCUUAAUUUUUUAUAUUUUCCUGCUCACCAUUACCUUUGUAAUGACAAUUGCCAUUAUGUAACUAUUGGUUGAGUUGUGAUUAUCAUUUUCAAAUGUGUUUGAGCCGUCAAGAAUUUCACAGAAGAAGCUCAAUCAAUGUUCACAUUCACUGAUGUAUGAAAGAAUCAAUCUAUCAUCUGGAUCGUGCAGAAGACGAUGAAUAUAUUCCCUUUGACUUUAAUCGUAAUUAUUAUGUCUUAAGUCACGCAUUUUAUAUAAUGACCGUAGCAAUACAAAUUCAUCCGAAGAACUCUCGUUUGAAUUAAAAAACCUGUUCCAAAAUUAGGAAAAGGUGUCGCUGUUAUUUACAAGCGUCAGAAAUAUAAAGACAGUCACAGAACUGUUCAUAAAAGAUGGUUGAAAGGAAAUAUGUAGUAAAAGUAGCUACCUUUUGUUAAUUUCAUUGAGCAUUGAAAUAAUAUAUUACAUGGAAUGGAUCAUUUCAGAAAUGUAUUAAAACCUACAUGAACG